GACGUAGGGCGCGAGCGUUGUCCGGAUUUAUUGGGCGUAAAGAGCUCGUAGGCGGCUUGUUGCGUCGGCUGUGAAAACCCAUGGCUCAACCGUGGGCUUGCAGCCGAUACGGGCAGGCUAGAGUUCGGUAGGGGAGACUGGAAUUCCUGGUGUAGCGGUGAAAUGCGCAGAUAUCAGGAGGAACACCGGUGGCGAAGGCGGGUCUCUGGACAGUUCCUGACGCUGAGGCACGAAGGCCAGGGGAGCAAACGGG
rnacentral:rRNA from 1 species